rnacentral:lncRNA from 1 species
AGUGUAUCCGUAGAUGUGAUGCACUAUGUACAUUUUCAUAGUUUUAUCAUGUUUUUUUUCCUGAAAUUUUUUCUUCAUCUUCUACUUUUUCUGUUUGUUGGUUUUAGAUUACUUGUUAUAAUGGAUAACUCCCAUAAUUAUAAUGGAUGGCUCCCAAAUUGAAUGGGGUGGGAGAAGAAAACAGAUAUCAUGAUUUCAACUCCUUCCUUUUUUCUAUCAAUCGAGGCCCAAUAGGUCUUGGUCCAACCUUUAAUUCUGACCUUGAAAAACAUAGAAAUUAUUAAUAGAGAUGAAUGGACUAAAAGAGGAAAUGUGAUGCAAAAGAAAACACACUGGACAGGAUGUCAUGCGAAUUGAGUUUAUUUCUGUGGCUUCACUCUAUGUGACCUUGGAUAAGGAAACUGAGGCCCAGAGAAUUUGUGACUUUCUUCAUGAAGCACAAUCUGUAUCUAUGACUAGAACACAGGUUUUCCUGACUCCAAGAACAGCAUUUUAAGUAUUAUGAUAUCCUCUCUCUGUCUUGAUAUCUGCUCUUUGUCUUACCUUUCUCUCAUCCAUAUCACUUGGUACCCUGCCUUGCUCAUCAUAGAAGCUGAAUAAAUAUUUGCUGAAUUAAUAAA